AUGAAAUGAGGAAUUUAACAGAAGGACAAAGUCUUAAGAGAUGAAAAGGUAUUUUCCUGAAAGGAGUAACAAGGAUGUGAACAAUGAGACUGACAGUUAAAAUCCUCAAGGGCAUUUUAAACUCCAUACCAAAGAAAUAGCAUUAUUUUCCAUGUUGCUGUUGAAUCAAUAUUCAGAGAGUUUACAGCUUGCUCACCUCUUAUAUCAU